rnacentral:tRNA from 1 species
GUGGUCGUAGCUCAGUUGGCAGAGCGCCGCCUCGCCAUGGCGGAGGCCCCGGGUUCGAAUCCCGGUGACCACU